rnacentral:rRNA from 2 species
GUGAGUAACACGUGAGUAACCUGCCCCUGACUCUGGGAUAAGCGUUGGAAACGACGUCUAAUACUGGAUAUGAUCACUGGCCGCAUGGUCUGGUGGUGGAAAGAUUUUUUGGUUGGGGAUGGACUCGCGGCCUAUCAGCUUGUUGGUGAGGUAAUGGCUCACCAAGGCGACGACGGGUAGCCGGCCUGAGAGGGUGACCGGCCACACUGGGACUGAGACACGGCCCAGACUCCUACGGGAGGCAGCAGUGGGGAAUAUUGCACAAUGGGCGAAAGCCUGAUGCAGCAACGCCGCGUGAGGGAUGACGGCCUUCGGGUUGUAAACCUCUUUUAGUAGGGAAGAAGCGAGAGUGACGGUACCUGCAGAAAAAGCACCGGCUAACUACGUGCCAGCAGCCGCGGUAAUACGUAGGGUGCAAGCGUUGUCCGGAAUUAUUGGGCGUAAAGAGCUCGUAGGCGGUUUGUCGCGUCUGCUGUGAAAUCCCGAGGCUCAACCUCGGGCUUGCAGUGGGUACGGGCAGACUAGAGUGCGGUAGGGGAGAUUGGAAUUCCUGGUGUAGCGGUGGAAUGCGCAGAUAUCAGGAGGAACACCGAUGGCGAAGGCAGAUCUCUGGGCCGUAACUGACGCUGAGGAGCGAAAGCAUGGGGAGCGAACAGGAUUAGAUACCCUGGUAGUCCAUGCCGUAAACGUUGGGCGCUAG